GACGAACGCUGGCGGCGUGCUUAACACAUGCAAGUCGAACGGGUCUGCCCUGUUUUUUGCGGGGUGGGUCAGUGGCGAACGGGUGAGUAACACGUGAGUAACCUGCCCCUCACUUCUGGAUAACCGCUUGAAAGGGUGGCUAAUACGGGGUGUUCUGGCUGUGCCGCAUGGUGUGGCUGGGAAAGAUUCACUUUUGUGGUGUUUUGGUGGGGGAUGGGCUCGCGGCCUAUCAGCUUGUUGGGGGGGUGAUGGCCUGCCAAGGCUUUGACGGGUAGCCGGCCUGAGAGGGUGGGCGGUCACACUGGGGCUGAGAUACGGCCCAGACUCCUGCGGGAGGCAGCAGUGGGGGGUAUUGCACAAUGGGCGGAAGCCUGAUGCAGCGACGUCGCGUGAGGGAUGGAGGCCUUCGGGUUGUGAACCUCUUUCGCCGGUGAAGAAGGUCCUGCUCUUUGUGGUGGGGUUGACGGUAGCCGGGUUAUGAAGCGCCGGCUAACUACGUG
rnacentral:rRNA from 1 species